UACGGGGGGGGGCAAGCGUUGUUCGGAAUUACUGGGCGUAAAGGGCUCGUAGGUGGCCAACUAAGUCAGACGUGAAAUCCCUCGGCUUAACCGGGGAACUGCGUCUGAUACUGGAUGGCUUGAGUUUGGGAGAGGGAUGCGGAAUUCCAGGUGUAGCGGUGAAAUGCGUAGAUAUCUGGAGGAACACCGGUGGCGAAGGACGGCAUCCUGGACCAACACUGACACUGAGGAGCGAAAGCCAGGGGAGCAAACGGG
rnacentral:rRNA from 1 species